GCAGCCUCCUGUGCGAAGCACUCUGAGAUCUGCAGCUAGAAGAAGCCAGGAUGGUGGUGCUCACCUCACAGUGAGCCUUGGCAGUUGUGCCCAGAAUUGAAAUAUUUUCUUUUCCAAUAACCUGAGCCAAGCCACCUCCAGGAGCCAAGGGGAUCAGAGCCAGCACCGAGCAGGACAGGGGGACGGCUGAAGUUGGUACUAGGACAUGCGCCCUUCACCCGAGCCAGGGAUAAACUCAGAAGGGGCCUUCUGGAUUAGGUAACACCUCCCCAAAGAUGCUUGUAGGCCCUGUGGCACACACGCCGCAACAGCGCCAUGAAGACCUCACCAUCCAGCAGCACUGCCUCCUACAGGGCCCCAGGAUGGCCCAUAACAACCAGGUAAACAAUGAGUCAUGACUGGCGGUGAAACCGCUGAGCAAGAAGUGAGUGAGGGCUGAGCAGGCAGGAAGAAGUGCAGAGUAAAUGGUACCCUAAGCCCUGAGUAACAGCAGUGUCAACAUCAGAAAGUGCCUAAGUACUCAGGACCUAAACCUCAAGUAGCUACUGAGUAACAGUGCAGCAAACACCAAGUAACUGCUCAGGCCUGAUCCUCCUCAUAGUACCAGUACCCUGAGAGCACUGCCCUUCCAUGCACAAAGCCGUCAAAAGAAAGGUGCUGUAGGGCAGAAGGAGUAGGGCUGGAGCAGAGGAGCAUCUGCUGCUUCUGCAAAUGAGGCUGCUCAUGCAACAAGAGCCCCUCAGGAGCUGAUUCAGGCCUACUGUAGCACCCAUGUGCUGAAUGAGGGCUCCCUCCCCCCCAGAAUUUGCCUCCCUGGAGCAAGUAACACUGGCACCAGACAGUGGAGACAAGGCCUCAACAAAUAAUCAAAAACUGAGCAGUGACCCAUAUAAGUAAUUCCCUAGUAAACACUGAGCAACAGCCAAGUAAAUCCUGAGUAGUGACUGAGUACUGACCAUAUACCAGCCAAAUGAACUCCACAUAAUGACUGAAUAAAUGCCAAAUACUAAGGAAUCAUAGCAUAAAAGUGAACACUAAAUAAUGACUGAGCAAUACUGAGUGGUGUGUAAGUAAUGAGUGACAGCACAGUGACAGUAAACACUGAAUAACAUCAGAUAAACCCUAAAUAGACAAGGAGUAGUGCCUUAGCAAACACAUGGUGUAACAUGCCCAAAAGGUGGGUAAGGUCUGAGCUGCGACCCAGCAAAUACUGGGAGCUCAUCAUCAUCAUCACUGCCUGUGGCCUUCUGGAUGUCAAGUAGGAAGCUGGCCAAUUGUGUGCCAUCUCUGUCACAGCACUGAGCAGAAACACAAACUGGGACUACUCUGAGGACCCU